rnacentral:rRNA from 1 species
GCAUAUCAAUAAGCGGAGGAAAAAGAAACCCAACAGGGAUUGCCUUAGUAACGGCGAGUGAAGCGGCAACAGCUCAAAUUUGAAAAUCUGGCCCUUGGGUCCGAAUUGUAAUUUGUAGAGGAUGAUUUUGGUGCGGUAUCUUCCGAGUUCCUUGGAACAGGACGCCUUAGAGGGUGAGAGCCCCGUACGGUUGAAUGCCUAGCCUUUGUAAAUCUCCUUCGACGAGUCGAGUAGUUUGGGAAUGCUGCUCUAAAUGGGAGGUAAAUUUCUUCUAAAGCUAAAUAUUGGCCAGAGACCGAUAGCGCACAAGUAGAGUGAUCGAAAGAUGAAAAGCACUUUGAAAAGAGGGUUAAAUAGCACGUGAAAUUGUUGAAAGGGAAGGAUUUGUGACCAGACUUUUUCUGGGCGGAUCAUCCGGGGUUCUCUCCGGUGCACUUCGCCCAGUAAAGGCCAGCAUCGAUUUUCCGCGGCGGAUAAAAGCAGUGGGAAUGUGGCUCCUUACGGGGAGUGUUAUAGCCCAUUGUAUAAUACGCUGCUGGGGAUCGAGGUACGCGCUUCUGCAAGGAUGCUGGCGUAAUGGUUAUCAAUCACCCGUCUUGAAACACGGACCAAGGAGUCGAACAUUUGUGCGAGUGUUUGGGUGUUAAACCCUCACGCGUAAUGAAAGUGAACGGAGGUGAGAGCCCUUACGGGUGCAUCAUCGACCGAUCCUGAAGUUUUCGGAUGGAUUUGAGUAAGAGCAUAAAUGUUCGGACCCGAAAGAUGGUGAACUAUGCGUGGAUAGGGUGAAGCCAGAGGAAACUCUGGUGGAGGCUCGCAGCGGUUCUGACGUGCAAAUCGAUCGUCAAAUCUGCGCA